rnacentral:tRNA from 1 species
GGCGUAGUGGCUGAGUAGUAAAGUGCUUGGUUUCCAAACCAGGGUCCCGGGUUCGAAUCCUGGUGAAGACU